UCCAAGGUGCCAGUGAUGGCUGAAAAGGGAAUCCGGUGUAAACCCGGAACUGUCCCCGCAACUGUAAAUGUGACGAAAUGAGAAACCACUGUAUAGCUCUCUAUACGGGAAGGACUCAAAGUAGGAUGAUCAUGAGUCAGGAGACCUGCCUUGAAUUUUU
rnacentral:ncRNA from 1 species